AAAAACAUGUCCUUUUGUUUUAAGUAUAAGGUCUAACCUGCCCAAUGAUUUAAUUUAAUGGCCGCGGUAUAUUAACUGUGCUAAGGUAGCAUAAUCAUUUGUCUUUUAAUUAAAGGCUAGAAUGAAUGGUUGGACGAGGUAUAAUCUUUCUUUAAUUUAAUUUAUGAAUUUAAUUUUUUAGUCAAAAAGCUAAAAUAUAUUUAAGGGACGAGAAGACCCUAUAGAUCUUUAUUUAAUUAAUUAUUAUAUAUUUUAGUGUAUUAAUUGUUUUAAUAGUUAAUUAAAUUUGAUUGGGGUGAUUUUAGAAUUUUAAUUAACUUCUAUUUUUUUUAUUCAUUAAUUUAUGUUUUUUUGAUCCAGUUUUAUUGAUUAUAAGAUUAAGUUACCUUAGGGAUAACAGCGUAAUUCUUUUGAAGAGCUCAUAUCGAUGAAGGAGUUUGCGACCUCGAUGUUGGAUUAAAAUAAGUUUUAGGUGUAGAAGCUUAAAAACUAGGUCUGUUCGACCUUUAAUUUUUUACAUGAUCUGA
rnacentral:rRNA from 1 species